rnacentral:rRNA from 1 species
CAUGCNAGUCGAACGGCAGCAUGACCUUCGGGUUGAUGGCGAGUGGCGAACGGGUGAGUAAUACAUCGAGACGUGCCUUAUAGUGGGGGAUAACUAAUCGAAAGAUUAGCUAAUACCGCAUAAUCUCUGAGGAGGAAAGCUGGGGAUCAGCAAUGACCUGGCGCUAAAAGAGCGGUCGAUGGUCGAUUAGCUUGUUGGUGGGGUAAAGGCCUACCAAGGCAAUGAUCGAUAGCUGUUCUGAGAGGAAGAUCAGCCACACUGGGACUGAGACACGGCCCAGACUCCUACGGGAGGCAGCAGUGGGGAAUUUUGGACAAUGGGGGCAACCCUGAUCCAGCAACGCCGCGUGAAUGAAGAAGGCCUUAGGGUUGUAAAGUUCUUUUAUCUGGGAGUAAAUAUCUUUAGUUAAUAGCUAAAGAGGCUGAAAGUACCAGAAGAAUAAGCACCGGCUAACUACGUGCCAGCAGCCGCGGUAAUACGUAGGGUGCGAGCGUUAAUCGGAAUUACUGGGCGUAAAGCGUGCGCAGGCGGAUAUAUAAGUUAGGUGUGAAAUCCCUGAGCUUAACUUGGGAAUGGCAUUUAAGACUGUAUGUCUAGAGUUUGUCAGAGGGGGGUAGAAUUCCAAGUGUAGCAGUGAAAUGCGUAGAUAUUUGGAGGAAUACCAGUGGCGUANGCGGCCCCCUGGGAUAAAACUGACGCUCANGCACNAAAGCGUGGGUAGCAAACAGGAUUAGAUACCCUGGUAGUCCACGCCCUAAACNAUGUCUACUUGCUGUUGGGAAAAUAUUCUUANUANCNAA